AUUGAACGCUGGCGGCAUGCCUUACACAUGCAAGUCGAACGGCAGCACGGGAGCAAUCCUGGUGGCGAGUGGCGAACGGGUGAGUAAUAUAUCGGAACGUGCCCAGUCGUGGGGAUAACGUAGCGAAAGCUACGCUAAUACCGCAUACGAUCUAUGGAUGAAAGCGGGGGAUCGCAAGACCUCGCGCGAUUGGAGCGGCCGAUAUCAGAUUAGGUAGUUGGUGAGAUAAAGGCUCACCAAGCCGACGAUCUGUAGCUGGUCUGAGAGGACGACCAGCCACACUGGGACUGAGACACGGCCCAGACUCCUACGGGAGGCAGCAGUGGGGAAUUUUGGACAAUGGGCGCAAGCCUGAUCCAGCAAUGCCGCGUGCAGGAUGAAGGCCUC
rnacentral:rRNA from 1 species